GGCCCCGUAGCUCAACUGGAUAGAGCACCCGCCUUCUAAGCGGGAUGUUGCGUGUUCGAGUCACGCCGGGGUCGCCA
rnacentral:tRNA from 2 species